rnacentral:tRNA from 1 species
GGGCGCGUAGCUCAGCGGAAGAGCACCACGUUGACAUCGUGGGGGCCACAGGUUCGAUCCCUGUCGCGCCCACCA